rnacentral:rRNA from 1 species
AUUGAACGCUGGCGGCAGGCCUUACACAUGCAAGUCGAACGAGUGGCGGACGGGUGAGUAAUGUCUGGGAAACUGCCUGAUGGAGGGGGAUAACUACUGGAAACGGUAGCUAAUACCGCAUACCAUCGGAUGUGCCCAGAUGGGCUUAUCUAGUAGGUGGUGUAACGGCUCACCUAGGCGACGAUACCUAGCUGGUUUGAGAGGAUGACCAGCCACACGGGAACUGAGACACGGUCCAGACUCCUACGGGAGGCAGCAGUGGGGAAUAGUGCACAAUGGGCGCAAGCCUGAUGCAGCCAUGCCGCGUGUAUGAAGAAGGCCUUCGGGUUGUAAAGUACUUUCGGCGGGGAGGCGUUACCCGCAGAAGAAGCACCGGCGAACUCCGUGCCAGCAGCCGCGGUAAUAC